rnacentral:lncRNA from 1 species
UUUGCCAGUUAGCAGGUUCUGCUUAUGUUGGCUCCUCAGUGCCCAGUCCACAGUCACACUGGUCUUUAAACUGUAGAAUUUCUCUCACUUCAGUGAACAAACUCAGAAGUCUAGAAGGAGGAACCCAUGUAACCCACCACAUGAUAAAAGCAGACUGAUUUUUAAUGAGGGGAAAACAGCCUGCAGUUCAUGUAGCUUUCAUUUGGACGGUUUGUUCUGAGAAGUCAUUUUUACCACUCACAUGCUGGAAAUAUAUCUGCAUUAUUAGUCAGUCAUAUAUGAAGACAAUACCUUAA